rnacentral:lncRNA from 1 species
GAUCUUAAUCUCUUCUUUCAGAUCUUAAAGAAGCAGAUCGCUGCACGAACUUUUUCGCACAGAUCCGAUGUGAUCUAAAUCAGAUCACUAUGAAGAGAAGAAGAACCCUUCUUCUUCUCUUCUUCUCUCUUUUUUCUCUUCUUAGAUCUGAUCUCUAUCAGAUCUGGACAUGGAUAUGAAGUGGAGAAGGAAGGAAGAGGCAUUGGGGAGGAG